GAUGAAGAACGUAGUGAAAUGCGAUAAGUAAUGUGAAUUGCAGAAUUCAGUGAAUCAUCAAAUCUUUGAACGCACAUUGCGCCCGGUAGUAUUCUGCCGGGCAUGCCUGUUCGAGCGUCAUUUCAACCAUCAAGCCCCAGCGCUUGUGUUGGGGGCCUGCGGCUGCCGCAGCCCCCUAAAAGCAGUGGCGGGCUCGCUAUCACACCGAGUGCAGUAGUUCAUCUUCUCUCCGGUCUUGUGAGGCGGGUUCCGGCCGUGAAACACCCCACUACAUUCAAGGUUGACCUCGGAUCAGGUAGGAAUACCCGCUGAACUUAAGCAUAUCAAUAAGCGGAGGA
rnacentral:misc_RNA from 1 species